rnacentral:rRNA from 1 species
CAAUCGAACCCGGAGAUAGCUGGUUCUCCCCGAAAUAGCUUUAGGGCUAGCGUCGGAAAGAACCUUAGUGAAGGUAGAGCACUGAAUGUGUGAUGGCCCCAUCCCGGGGUACUGAAUACAAUCAAACUGCGAAUGUCAUUAAGGAUGUCCGGCAGUCAGACUGUGAGUGAUAAGGUCCAUGGUCAAGAGGGAAACAGCCCAGACCGCCAGUUAAGGUCCCAAAAUACAGGCUAAGUGGAAAAGGAUGUGGGGAUGCCCAGACAACUAGGAGGUUGGCUCAGAAGCAGCCAUCCUUUAAAGAGUGCGUAACAGCUCACUAGUCGAGUGACCCUGCGCCGAAAAUGUACCGGGGCUAAGCCUGAUACCGAAACUGCGGAUUGUAGGAAACUAUAGUGGUAGGGGAGCGUUGUAUACGAGUAGAAGCCGUACCGUGAGGAGCGGUGGAUUGUAUAGAAGUGAGAAUGCCGGUGUGAGUAGCGAGAUGUAGGUGAGAAUCCUACACACCGAAAGCCCAAGGAUUCCAGGGGAAGGUUCGUCCGCCCUGGGUAAGUCGGGACCUAACGCGAGGCCGAAAGGCGUAGUGGAUGGAAAGCAGGCGAAAGAUUCCUGCACCCGUAUAUGGAGCGAAGGAGUGACGGAGACGGAUAGUGUGACCCUCUUAAUGGAUUGAGGGCGAAGCGAAGCGGCUGGUUACCAGGCAAAUCCGGUAACCUUAAGGCUAGAGCGUGACAGGUAAGCGAAAUCUUAGGAAAGUAGCGAAGCACAUGAUGACGGCUUCCAGGAAAAGCUUCUGGCAAUGCAUAUGCGGCCCGUACCAAAACCGACACAGGUGGGCAGGGAGAGAAUCCCGAGGUGAGCGAGAGAACUGUUGCCAAGGAACUCGGCAAAAUGACUCCGUAAGUUAGCGAGAAGGAGUGCUUAAGCAAUUAAGCCGCAGUGAAGAGGCCCAAGCGACUGUUUAACUAAAACACAGCUCUCUGCGAAGUCGCAAGACGAAGUAUAGGGGGUGACACCUGCCCGGUGCUGGAAGGUUAAGAGGAUCUGUUAAGAGCGAUCUGAAGCAGUGAUCCGAAGCCCCAGUGAACGGCGGCCGUAACUAUAACGGUCCUAAGGUAGCGAAAUUCCUUGUCAGGUAAGUUCUGACCCGCACGAAAGGUGUAACGAUUUGGGCGCUGUCUCGGCAGCAGACUCGGUGAAAUCUUAGUACCUGUGAAAAUGCAGGUUACCCGCAACUAGACGGAAAGACCCCAUGGAGCUUUACUGCAGCCUGAUAUUGAAUUCUGGUCAUACAUGUACAGGAUAGGUGGGAGACAAAGAGACGUGCACGCCAGUGUACGAGGAGUCGACGUUGGGAUACCACUCUUGUGUGACCGGGGUUCUAACCUGGUAUCGAGAACAGGUACGGGGAGAGUGUCAGGUGGGCAGUUUGACUGGGGCGGUCGCCUCCCAAAGAGUAACGGAGGCGCCCAAAGGUACGCUCAGAUUGGAUGGAAACCAAUCGUCGAGUGCAAUUGCAGAAGCGUGCUUGACUGUGAGACAAACAAGUCGAACAGGGACGAAAGUCGGGAAUAGUGAUCCGGCGGUGCCGAAUGGAAGGGCCGUCGCUCAACGGAUAAAAGCUACCCUGGGGAUAACAGGCUGAUCUCCCCCAAGAGUCCACAUCGACGGGGAGGUUUGGCACCUCGAUGUCGGCUCAUCGCAUCCUGGGGCUGUAUUCGGUCCCAAGGGUUGGGCUGUUCGCCCAUUAAAGCGGUACGCGAGCUGGGUUCAGAACGUCGUGAGACAGUUCGGUCCCUAUCUGUUGUGGGCGAAGGAGAUCUGCGGAGAGCUGUCCUCAGUACGAGAGGACCGGGAUGGACCUACCGCUGGUGCACCGGUUGUUCCGCCAGGGGCAUAGCCGGGUAGCUAAGUAGGGAAAGGAUAAGCGCUGAAAGCAUCUAAGCACGAAGCCUACUCCAAGAUGAGAUCUCCCAUUCGCAAGAAGUAAGACCCCUUAAAGACGAUAAGGUAGAUAGGCCAGGGAUGGAAGUGCAGUGAUGUACGGAGUUGACUGGUACUAAUCGGUCGAGGACUUAAUCAG